AGUUCGGUGGCCUAGUGGUUUACAGCGUCCGCCUUGGAUACGGAGGUCGUGGGUUCGAACCCAGGCUGAGUCA